rnacentral:rRNA from 1 species
GACGAACGCUGGCGGCGUGCUUAACACAUGCAAGUCGAACGGAAAGGCCCUGCUUUUGUGGGAUGCUCGAGUGGCUAACGGGUGAGUAACACGUGAGUAACCUGCCCUUGACUUUGGUAUAACUUCAGGAAACUGGGGCUAAUACCGCAUAGGAGCUCCUGCUGCAUGGUGGGGGUUGGAAAGUUUCGGCGGUUGGGGAUGGACUCGCGGCUUAUCAGCCUGUUGGUGAGGUAGUGGCUUACCAAGGCUUUGACGGGUAGCCUGACUGAGAGGGUGACCGGCCACAGUGGGACUGAGAAGCGGCCAAGACUCCUACGGGAGGCAGCAGUGAGGAAUAUUGCACGAUGGGCGGAAGCCUGAUGCAGCAACGCCGCGUGCGGGAUGACGGCCUUAGGGUUGGAAACCGCUUUCGCCUGUGACGAAGCGUGAGUGACGGUAAUGGGUAAAGAAGCACCGGCUAACUACGUG